rnacentral:rRNA from 1 species
GAUGAACGCUAGCGAUAGGCUUAACACAUGCAAGUCGAGGGGCAGCAUGAUUUAGCUUGCUAAGGUCGAUGGCGACCGGCGCACGGGUGCGUAACGCGUAUGCAACUUGCCUUCGGAGGGGGAUAACCCGUUGAAAGACGGACUAAAACCGCAUACACUUGUAUUAUUGCAUGAUAUUCAAGGAAAUAUUUAUAGCUGUAAGAUAGGCAUGCGUCCCUUAGCUGGUUGGUGAGGUAACGGCUCACCAAGGCGACGAUGGGUAGGGGAACUGAGAGGUUUAUCCCCCACCUGGUACUGAGACACGGACCAGACUCCUACGGGAGGCAGCAGUGAGGAAUAUUGGUCAAUGGGCGAUAGCCUGAACCAGCCAAGUCGCGUGAAGGAAGACAGUCCUAAGGAUUGUAAACCUCUUUUAUACGGGAAUAACGGGCGAUACGAGUAUUGCAUUGAAUGUACCGUAAGAAUAAGCAUCGGCUAACUCCGUGCCAGCAGCCGCGGUAAUACGGAGGAUGCGAGCGUUAUCCGGAUUUAUUGGGUUUAAAGGGUGCGUAGGUUGUUCGGUAAGUCAGCGGUGAAACCUGAGCGCUCAACGUUCAGCCUGCCGUUGAAACUGCCGGGCUUGAGUUCAGUGGCGGCAGGCGGAAUUCGUGGUGUAGCGGUGAAAUGCAUAGAUAUCACGAGGAACUCCGAUUGCGAAGGCAGCUUGCCAUACUGCGACUGACACUGAAGCACGAAGGCGUGGGUAUCAAACAGGAUUAGAUACCCUGGUAGUCCACGCAGUAAACGAUGAUUACUAGGAGUUUGCGAUAUACCGUCAAGCUUCCACAGCGAAAGCGUUAAGUAAUCCACCUGGGGAGUACGCCGGCAACGGUGAAACUCAAAGGAAUUGACGGGGGCCCGCACAGGCGGAGGAACAUGUGGUUUAAUUCGAUGAUACGCGAGGAACCUUACCCGGGAUUGAAAUGUA